rnacentral:rRNA from 1 species
UCACCCCCCCUAGCUUUAUUCCGCCUAUAUACCACCGUCGCCAGCUUACCCUGUGAAGGACUAAUAGUAAGCACAAUCGGCACAGCCCAGAACGUCAGGUCGAGGUGUAGUGAAUGGGAGGGGAAGAAAUGGGCUACAUUCGCUGUCCGCCAGCGAACACGAACGCUGCAUUGAAACAUGCAGCUGAAGGAGGAUUUAGCAGUAAGCAGAAAGCAGAGUGUUCCGCUGAAGCCGGCUCUUAAGCGCGCACACACCGCCCGUCACCCUCCCCAAGCAACUGGACCUAAAUUUUUCUUUAAACCCUAACAAUCGCAAAGGAGAGGAAAGUCGUAACAUGGUAAGCGUACCGGAAGGUGCGCUUGGUUAAAC